GCCACAUGUGCCAAGUGUCCCUUGGGAGACAAAAUCGCUGCAGCUUGACUCCAUUCCAAGUGCACAUAUGACUCUACUUGGAGAAGAAGACAGUGACAGAGGCUGAGAGCCUGCACAUCCCUCCAGGAGACAGGACUUCAAAUCAGACCCUAAGGGUAGGGAAAAGAACACAGGAUGGAGUUGAUCCAAAAACCAAAAAUGAAGAAAAGGCAAGAUAGAGCAAAAGAGAAAGAGAAAAAUGGAUCCCAGGCUGAAAGAAAAGAGAUGAAUCCAGCAGCAUUGAAGAGCUGACUCUAGGAAAUAAGGUUAGGGGUGGGAAUGAAUGGGGGGUGGCUUGAAAGGCAUGCAGAGCUGCUCAACAUUGUCUAGUGAAUUCCUGAGGAACUGAGGCAGUGACUGUAGAUACUGAAUGGGGUUUCCCCUGAGGUACUGCUCAUGUGUGUCACGAGAGACACACUUCCCAUGGGGGAAACCUGGAAAGUACAGAGUCAAAAUCUCCGGGUUGCUUAUACCACACAGCUCUCAGCCACGGGACAGGGAGGAGAUAUAGGAUGUCUGCAUCAAGAAGCCUCAGUCUGACCCUCGAGAGGUAAAGGAUACCCAGGAACAACACUAGAGCAUCAGACUCUGUGCCCUGUCUCACCUCACCUCCACCCCCCACCCCCGAGCCUCUGAUCUGGAAACUGAUUAUUCAUUCAGGCAGAGCUUUCCACCACAGGAGGAAGAACACCCAGGUUAUACUGCAGCAAGAGCUGACAAAUGAGCAACUUGCUAGAGAGUGAACAGUGUCUGGGGGCAGGGGAGGGAAGGAAAAAGGAGGUGAUAUCAAGAUGGGAACAGAGCAGCCAACCCUGGUAGUCAGUGAGAUGAGCAGACUUAGAAAAGGAAACAAGCCAGGUGCAGCUGAAAAGCAGAGCUUUCUGGAGCUCGGUGGAGGAGCACUUACCUAGUAAGCUGGGUUCGAUUCCCAGCACUGCACAACAAGAAACUGUACACGAUGCAGCAAAGCUACUGUGCUGAUGCAGAAGAGAGACAGUGGUGCCUAAAGCCAGCUCCCAUCAGUGUCCUGCCUGCUCAAAGGUAUUUCAGACCUAAAGAAUAGAUGAUGGAGUCAGAGUCAACCAGAGCUAAUUCUUCAUGAUGAGUCGUUACUCGGAAGACCAGCUGAUGGCUCCAGUUGCAAAGAAGAGGACCCCACCACGAAGACUAUACUGCAGCAACACCUGCCUUAUUGAAACUCCGGUCCCUAACCUGCUGAUGUCUGUAUAAGUAACUUUGUCUUUAUAGUACUCUAGAACUUUCCACAGGAGUUGGGCUAGAUCCAGUUCUUUCCCAGGUGAGUCUUUCCCUCUACUGAGCUGCCUUGGUACCCACAAAGUGUCUCUAUCUCCACACUGAUAGGAACUGGAAAAGCCCAGUUUCUGCUUUUAAGGAGUCACUCGGGCUUAAUAUCUAAGGUAUACUUUCUGCUAAGCCACGCGGAUGAUAUUUGUGUUUCUGCUAUACUUUUGUCAUGGGCAUCAUCGCAAACGCUGCUUUGCGUUUUCUGAGUCCUGUGGAAAUGUUCUCCGCUAGUGUUUUAGUUAUGAAUUGUAAUACUCAUUUAAAAACUUGA
rnacentral:lncRNA from 1 species